rnacentral:rRNA from 1 species
AGACUUUGAUCCUGGCUCAGGACGAACGCUGGCGGCAUGCCUAACACAUGCAAGUCGAGCGAAGUGAUUUCGAAUGAAAUUUUCGGAUGGAUUUUGGAAUUAUCUUAGCGGCGGACGGGUGAGUAACGCGUGAGAAACCUGCCUUUCACAAAGGGAUAGCCUCGGGAAACUGGGAUUAAUACCUUAUGACACUUUAACCUCGCAUGGGGAAUAAGUUAAAGCGUAAAGCGGUGGAAGAUGGUCUCGCGUCCUAUUAGCUAGUUGGUGAGGUAACGGCUCACCAAGGCGACGAUAGGUAGCCGGCCUGAGAGGAUGAACGGCCACACUGGAACUGAGACACGGUCCAGACUCCUACGGGAGGCAGCAGUGGGGAAUAUUGCACAAUGGAGGAAACUCUGAUGCAGCGACGCCGCGUGAAUGAUGAAGGCCUUCGGGUCGUAAAAUUCUGUCCUUGGGGAAGAUAAUGACGGUACCCAAGGAGGAAGCCCCGGCUAACUACGUGCCAGCAGCCGCGGUAAUACGUAGGGGGCGAGCGUUGUCCGGAAUUAUUGGGCGUAAAGGGUUC